UAAAACAGUUUGUUGAGGAGUUGAAAAAGCAACAGUUGUAUGUGGCCGAAUCACGGCUUUUGGCUCUUACGUGUGUCUAUGUCGGUCUCUACUUACCGGACAAAAGGCUCACAGCAGUGUUCUUGAUGUGUGUUCCUAUACCAACGAUUAUUGUAUCCGCAUGGCUAAAUCACGUGCCAACCAAGUAUUCGAUGUUUCGUGCGUGUCUACAUCAAGGCGUUCCCUUAGGAUGUAUGUUAGUCCCCCUCGUCAUAUCAAGCUUGAACAUCGCAGUGGCAAGAGAAGGAAGUUUGUCAGACUGCUUGGGGUUUUAUUUGCGUGCCGCUAUCAUUCUUCAACUGUCUACUGUUUUGGCAAGCAUAUGGUGGAGGGUUAUAUUCCCAUAUGGCUACAUAUGCUGGACACUAUCCGUCGUAGCAGUCACAUACGGCAUUGAAAUAGCAACAUUUAAGACGUCAGCGCAAUCUGUUGUGUGCAUGCUAGUUAUUAUCUUGCUAUACGUAGCUGUGGCUUUACUGAUGCUACAGGGACUGCCAGGAAGUUUCACAGCCGGUGAGGCGAUAGUGGUGGCCACAGGUCUGUCUUUGGUGUUCUUCGACACCUCGAUUGUCACUUUGGCAAACUAUAUUCUUGGUUCACAGUUUAAUGUGAUCGGAAUGCCCACAUUUUUGGUUGCAUCGAGAAGUCAGUUUGUUCUACUGUUGGAGACCGUUAUCUCAUGGCUGCUUCUGCUCAUCACUAUGUAUGCUCCCGGUGGUAUCAAAGCCCGGAUGUCAGAAGAUGUCGCUUCGAAACGAAAAUGGUCUCUCUAUUUUUACGAAUUUGCUUGUGGUGCAGGAAUCCCGCUCUUAGUUGUCUGGUUGUCACUUGUCUUGAAAAUGAAUGCCCUGUAUUGGGGUGUGCUAUUUGUUCAAUCUAAACAGCACAAAGCUGCUUUGGUGUUCUCUUGGGUUUGCUGUAUUGUUAUUGCUUUGAGAGUUGUUAGUUGGAGGAAAAACAGGAGCUCAAAUGACAACGAGGAAUUUAUGCCAAUUAUUGUCGUUAGAAAAUUGUUCCACUUCAUUGCUUCUGCCGUCUUUGUAACUGGCCUUUUGGGAGAUGUGACUCUCCUUCAUGUGUCAUGUACUGCAGCACUCACCAUAUUUAUUCUGAUUGAGGUCGUUCGAUCCUGUCGACUGUGGCCAAUAGGUGAAACUCUGCACUACUACAUGUCUUGUUUGACAGAUAGUCGUGACAGCGGUCAUGUGAUUCUUACACACAUCUACCUCCUAGUUGGUCUUGCCCUUCCCAUCUGGCUCGUUCCAAGCACCAGAAAAGGACCAUUCAAACUUGCUAUGUAUGCUGGUGUUUUGUCUCUUGGAGUUGGGGACAGCUUUGCAUCUAUAUUUGGCAAAUGGCUGGGACGAAGAAAAUGGCCCAGUUUGUCAAAAUUCUACGAAGUCACUUGAAGGCACUUUGGCGUGUAUGAUGGGUCAGAUUGUAGCGGCAGGAAUAGUGUGUUCUCUCGAUUCUCAAAUAGUACUGGAAAACACAAUGCAAGCAAUUCGUAUAGUUGUCUCUCUAGUAUUGGGUUCGCUUCUCGAGGGUAUGACUGUCCAAAUCGACAACCUAGUAUUGCCACUCUAUACUCUAGCUCUCCUUCUUGUACA